AACGAACGCUGGCGGCGCGUCUUAACCAUGCAAGUCGAGCGGCAGGCAGCAAUGCCGAGAGCGGCGAACUGGUGAGUAACACGUGGAUAACGUACCCCGAUGUCUGGGACAGCCUGUAGAAAUAGAGGGUAAUACCGGAUAGAUCACUGUUUACGUGAGGUAGACGGCGGGAAAGGAGCUUCGGCUCCGCGUCGGGAACGGUCUGCGGCCCAUCAGCUAGACGGCGGGGUAAGUGCCCGCCGUGGCGAGGACGGGUAUCCGGCCUGAGAGGGCGGACGGACACAUUGGGACUGAGGUACGGCCCACGACUCCUACGGGAGGCAGCAGGUAAGAAUAUUCCGCAAUGGGGGGAACCCUGACGGAGCGACGCCGCGUGAACGAAGAAGGCCGGAAGGUUGUAAAGUUCUUUUCUGUUCGAGGAAUAAGUUUCGGAGGAAAUGCCGGGACGGUGACGGUAGGGCAGGAAUAAGCACCGGCUAAUUACGUGCCAGCAGCCGCGGUAACACGUAAGGUGCGAGCGUUGUUCGGAAUUAUUGGGCGUAAAGGGCAUGCAGGCGGGUCGCCAAGCUUGGUAAGAAAUACCGGGGCUCAACUCCGGAGCUAUAUUGAGAACUGGCGAGCUAGAGUUGCCGAAGGGUAUCCGGAAUUCCGCGUGAAGGGGUGAAAUCUGUAGAUAUGCGGAAGAACACCGAUGGCGAAGGCAGGAUACCGGCGGACGACUGACGCUGAGGUGCGAAGGUGCGGGGAGCAAACAGGAUUAGAUACCCUGGUAGUCCGCACAGUCAACGAUGUACACUGGGCGUGUGCGCAAGAGCGUGCGUGCCGAAGCAAACGCGAUAAGUGUACCGCCUGGGGAGUAUGCCCGCAAGGGUGAAACUCAAAGGAAUUGACGGGGGCCCGCACAAGCGGUGGAGCAUGUGGUUUAAUUCGAUGGUACGCGAGGAACCUUACCUGGGUUUGACAUCAAGAGCGAUACUAUAGAG
rnacentral:rRNA from 1 species